rnacentral:rRNA from 1 species
UUUUAUGGAGAGUUUGAUCCUGGCUCAGGAUGAACGCUGGCGGCGUGCCUAAUACAUGCAAGUCGAGCGAACGGAUGAGAAGCUUGCUUCUCUGAUGUUAGCGGCGGACGGGUGAGUAACACGUGGAUAACCUACCUAUAAGACUGGGAUAACUUCGGGAAACCGGAGCUAAUACCGGAUAAUAUUUUGAGCCGCAUGGUUCAAAAGUGAAAGACGGUCUUGCUGUCACUUAUAGAUGGAUCCGCGCUGCAUUAGCUAGUUGGUAAGGUAACGGCUUACCAAGGCAACGAUGCAUAGCCGACCUGAGAGGGUGAUCGGCCACACUGGAACUGAGACACGGUCCAGACUCCUACGGGAGGCAGCAGUAGGGAAUCUUC